rnacentral:rRNA from 1 species
GGAGUUAGCCGGUGCUUCUUCUGUGAGUGAUGUCCUUCCUGCCGGCUAUUAACCCGCAGGCCUUCUUCCUCACUGAAAGUGCUUUACAACCCGAAGGCCUUCUUCACACACGCGGCAUGGCUGGAUCAGGGUUGCCCCCAUUGUCCAAUAUUCCCCACUGCUGCCUCCCGUAGGAGUCUGGGCCGUGUCUCAGUCCCAGUGUGGCUGAUCAUCCUCUCAGACCAGCUACGGAUCGUCGCCUUGGUGAGCCGUUACCUCACCAACCAGCUAAUCCGACAUAGGCUCAUCCGAUAGCGCGAGGACCGAAGGUCCCCCGCUUUCCCCCGUAGGGCGUAUGCGGUAUUAGCCUGGGUUUCCCCAGGUUAUCCCCCACUACCGGGCAGAUUCCUAUGCAUUACUCACCCGUCCGCCGCUCGCCACCAGGGAGCAAGCUCCCCGUGCUGCCGCUCGACUUGCAUGUGUUAGGCCUGCCGCCAGCGUUCAAUCUGAGCCAGGAUCAAACUCUGA